rnacentral:rRNA from 1 species
UACGGGGGGGGCAAGCGUUGUUCGGAAUUACUGGGCGUAAAGGGCUCGUAGGCGGCCAACUAAGUCGGAUGUGAAAUCCCCAGGCUUAACCUGGGAACUGCAUCCGAUACUGGAUGGCUUGAAUCCGGGAGAGGGAUGCAGAAUUCCAGGUGUAGCGGUGAAAUGCGUAGAUAUCUGGAGGAACACCGGUGGCGAAGGCGGCAUCCUGGAUCGGCAUUGACGCUGAGGAGCGAAAGCCAGGGGAGCAAACGGG